CCAAUUUCCCUCCUCGUACUCUGGCGCUCAUUCCCCUUCCCUCCAUUUCUCUCUCUACUUUCGUCGAUCUCUCGGAGCUGACCACUAUAAACUCCUAACCACAUCGGCCACCGGUAACCACCUUCAAAUUCCGGCACUCUUUCAGCCAUCGGAGACAUGGACUCCGACGAGGGGAAGCUUUUCAUUGGAGGAAUAGCUUGGGACACCUCCGAGGAAAAGCUUAGGGACUAUUUCUCCCAAUUCGGUGAAGUUAUCCAAGCCGUUAUUAUGCGCGAUAAGACCACUGGCCGUCCCCGUGGCUUUGGCUUUGUCGUCUUCUCUGAUCCUUCCGUUCUCGAUCAGGUUCUUCAAGAUAAGCACACCAUCGAUGGCCGCCAGGUGGAGGCAAAAAGGGCACUAUCAAGAGAGGAACAACAAACUUCCACAAGAAGUGGGAUUAAUAACUCUGGUAGAAGUUCUGGAGGUAGUGGAUAUUUUAGGACCAAGAAAAUAUUUGUGGGAGGCUUACCUUCGGCACUAACAGAAGAUGGGUUUCGGCAGUAUUUUGAAAGUUAUGGUCAAGUAACUGAUGUAGUGAUAAUGUAUGACCAAAAUACUCAAAGACCUCGUGGAUUUGGUUUCAUAACAUUUGACAAUGAAGAUGCAGUUGAUAGAGUACUUUAUAAGAGCUUUCAUGAACUGAAUGGUAAACUUGUAGAGGUGAAAAGGGCACUUCCUAAAGAUGCAAAUCCAGGAAGUGGUGGCCGUGGAGGCUAUCAAAAUUAUGGUGCUUCUGGCACUAACGCUAACAACUUUGAUGGUAGAUCGGACAGCAAUAGAUAUAUGCAACCUCAGUCUACUGCUGGUGGUUUCCCCCCAUAUUCUGGAUAUGGUGUAUCAAGUUAUGGUUAUGGAGGACCAAACAGCGGUGUCCCUUAUGGAAGUUAUGGUAGUUAUGGUGUUGGUAUGUAUGGUGGUGCCAAUGCUGGAUUUGGUGGUCCAGCUGGACCAUUUGGAAAUCCAAGUGCUGUCAAUGCUGGUUAUCUAAGUGGAGCACCUGGGGCCAUGAAAAGUUCUUGGGCCAACCAAGCUCCAGGAUAUGGUGGUCCUGGCUAUGGUGCUAGUCCAGGCUUUGGGGCUGCAGCUCCUUGGAGUGCCUCAGGUACUGGUGGACCUCCUUCUGCCCCAAGGGGCCAAUCGCCUAGUGGGGCUUCUGGGUAUGGUAAUCAGGGUUAUUAUGGUGGAAACGAUGGUACUUAUGGUGGCUAUGGAGCCUCUGGUGGACGAGGUGCAAGCGCUCCAAAUAGCAAUGUCGGUACCGGUCAAAGUGGAGAGCAACAUGGCAUGAGUGGUGGGUACAUGGGGAGUGGCUAUGGUGACACUAAUGGAAAUUCAGGUUACUCCAGUGGUGGCUGGAGAUCUGAUGCUUCACAGACUCCGGGUGGUUAUGGUGGUGGAUAUGGUGGCACUCAGUCCAGGCAUGGUUAACCCUGUCACCACAUGUUUGCACAUGUCAUCCUUUUCCACGUGCAAAACAUAAUGCUGGAUGGGAACAAAUCCUGAGAAUGUGUUUUGCUAAAUACUAGGCUUCUGCAGUCCUUGGUAGAUGUGGCUUUCUUAUGGCAGUCAAGAUAGAGGAAUUUCAGGUGGAGUACCGGAGCUGCUGAGUGCAUUGUUUAACAGACCUUUCAUGCAGCUAAGGGACUAAGGUUUGGAUAUUCUUCCACCGCCCAUCUCUGUUGCGAUUAUGCUCAAAUAUCAGUGGUAUAACAAGUGCUUGGCGAGAUAGGGCAGUCAAAUAGGCGGCAACACUUUCUUCCAUCCUUUAGUUUCUGGCAUCCAUUUGCUUGGUUGUUUUAAUACUUCUUUUUUCUUUUCAUUUGUUAUCUAAUGUCAUUUACUUUUUCACUCAUAAAUUGACUUGACAAUUAAAAUUUCUCCUUUAGGUUAAAA